rnacentral:lncRNA from 1 species
CCGGUUAAUUUUGUAGAUAAUGAUAAGUUUGGUACUUGCGAAAAGAUUAGCGAGUGGAAAGCCUCUUUUCAAGUAAUAUUGAUAAUUAAACCCAAGAAAAAAUAAUAUUAAUAUGAAUGUUAUCAAAUAUACUUAAGGUAUCUCAUAUUAAUGUUGGAUAUGGCACCAAUUUCUUCAAGCUACCGUUUCUAAUAUGGCACAAAAAAGAAAAUGAAAACGCAAGAAUACAUUAGAAUCCAUUCGCCAGAACACAAGUAACAAAGUAACGAGAGUUUUAAUUAAUUACCAUAAUGGAUUAAGAAUUUGAACAAUAGCCCACAAAACAUCCAACAUUUCAAACUAGGUUUCUAGCUUCAACCUUAUCAGUACGGAGUACCAUAAACUGAUUCUCUUAUACUGCAUAGAUAGCUAUAUAAUAUGAUGUUCUUAUUUGGUUUAUAUAUAUAAAUAAGGUCCUCAAAUAAACCUAUUUAUAGAGGAAGCUUAUAACAAAAAAUAAAUGUAUGGGAUGGAGAAUCCCCAUCCGACCACUGGCGAAGUCAGCCUUAUCCGAAAGGUGCCAUUUGAGAUUCCCUCGCCAAAAAAAAUUACAUUGUAUUUAUAGAUUUAUCAUUAUCAUAACGUCUUAAUCAUGUAU